AGAGUUUGAUCCUGGCUCAGAGUGAACGCUGGCGGCAUGCCUAACACAUGCAAGUCGAACGGCAGCACAGCAGUAGCAAUACUGUGGGUGGCGAGUGGCGGACGGGUGAGGAAUACAUCGGAAUUUGCCCUGUCGUGGGGGAUAACGUAGGGAAACUUACGCUAAUACCGCAUACGACCUAACGGUGAAAGCGGGGGAUCGCAAGACCUCGCGCGGCUGGAGAAGCCGAUGUCAGAUUAGCUAGUUGGCGGGGUAAAGGCCCACCAAGGCGACGAUCUGUAGCUGGUCUGAGAGGAUGAUCAGCCACACUGGGACUGAGACACGGCCCAGACUCCUACGGGAGGCAGCAGUGGGGAAUAUUGGACAAUGGGCGCAAGCCUGAUCCAGCAAUGCCGCGUGUGUGAAGAAGGCCUUCGGGUUGUAAAGCACUUUUAUCAGGAGCGAAAUCUGCAGGGCUAAUACCCAUGCAGUCUGACGGUACCUGAGGAAUAAGCACCGGCUAACUUCGUGCCAGCAGCCGCGGUAAU
rnacentral:rRNA from 1 species